rnacentral:misc_RNA from 1 species
UACAAAAUGGAAGGAGUUUUUCCCCAUGAAAGAUAUGAGAUAUCCCCCAACAUUUAAUGGGCGGGUUAUAUGUUGUGCAACAAUAGAGGUUCUACAAGAAUAUCUUGCAUGGAGACAGAAUGACUGCCAUGCUAAUAACCAGUACAACACUUGUCUUUGGAAGCUGGUUGAAAGUGGGAAGACUGAAAAAGAAGCGCAAGAAAUUUUAAAGGGCC